rnacentral:rRNA from 1 species
GAUGAACGCUAGCUACAGGCUUAACACAUGCAAGUCGAGGGGUAACGAGAGGGAAGCUUGCUUUCCUUGUCGACGACCGGCGCACGGGUGAGUAACGCGUAUCCAACCUGCCCCCAACUAGGGAAUAACCUUGCGAAAGUAAGACUAAUACCCUAUAAUUUCCUCAGAUGCCAUCUGACGAGGAAUAAAGAUUUAUCGGUUGUGGAUGGGGAUGCGUCUGAUUAGCUUGUUGGCGGGGUAACGGCCCACCAAGGCAACGAUCAGUAGGGGUUCUGAGAGGAAGGUCCCCCACAUUGGAGCUGAGACACGGUCCAAACUCCUACGGGAGGCAGCAGUGAGGAAUAUUGGUCAAUGGGCGGAAGCCUGAACCAGCCAAGUAGCGUGCAGGGUGACGGCCCUAUGGGUUGUAAACUGCUUUUAUACAGGAAUAAAGUUAGCCACGUGUGGUUAUUUGUAGGUACUGUAUGAAUAAGGACCGGCUAAUUCCGUGCCAGCCGCCGCCGUAA